UACGAAGGGGGCUAGCGUUGUUCGGAUUUACUGGGCGUAAAGGGCGCGUAGGCGGCUCAUCAAGUCAGGCGUGAAAGCCCUGGGCUCAACCCGGGAAUUGCGCUUGAGACUGGUGUGCUCGAGUACGGGAGAGGAUAGUGGAAUUCCCAGUGUAGAGGUGAAAUUCGUAGAUAUUGGGAAGAACACCAGUGGCGAAGGCGGCUAUCUGGACCGUAACUGACGCUGAGGCGCGAAAGCGUGGGGAGCAAACAGG
rnacentral:rRNA from 1 species